AAAUUUUGUUUUAAAAUAUUGAUAACAAAUAUGUUUAUGCUAAUUUUAAGGGAUUAAUGUGAAGUUUGUUUGGAUUAAAUUUGAUUGAUAAUGUGAUUGACAAUUUAAAUUAAGAAUUUAAAGUAAAAUUAAUUAUUUUGGAAAACAAUUAAUGCUAAUGGCAUUGGGUUGUAAAUAAGUCCAACUCUAAGAUUUAUUUGUUAAAAUGGCUGCAAAAAUGUAUAUAUAGAUUUAAAAAAAACAA
rnacentral:sRNA from 1 species